CCUGAAUUUCAACGUAGGUAACAUUAAAUCAUAUAUAAAAAGAAUAUCAUUAAAUUGAUUCAUUUUCAACAUUUCAAAAGAUAUAUAUUUUUUUCCCUACUUAACAUUUGAUGGGGUCAGUUCGGCACAAUUGGGCCGAACUCCCACAUGCAAGAUUACUGGACGAUAAAAGCUAAAGCCCAAGUCUAAAAUGGGCCAUGAGCUUUUGGGCCAGUUCCCGGUGGGUGGCCAAUGCCAAGGGAGGUUGAAGUAUCGCCGAAAAGAGAGCGCGAAGGGUAAAAGUGUACUUUUUAAUGACUAUAAUUGACAAAUGGAGUUGGACGUGGACAUCAAGCCAGUGACAACGUCAAUAUACGGUUUCACCAGUGACCGUUUCGACCAAUAGGGCAGAUAAAGUGGACCGUGGCACUAGGAGUCCAUCCACUCGUCAAAAUACGAACAAAUAACUUCCGGAUACCUCAGAUUACAACGUAAUCUUCGGAAGGCCCAUGCUCGCCACCUUUCAAGUAGUACCUUCCACUUUUUCACAUGAAGUUGAAUUAAGUUCCCCGUCGGGUCAGCGAUCGGCGAGCUUAUAUAGGGAUUCGAUCAUGCUAUUUCGAAACUUGUAGAAAAACAAAAGAUGUGAGAGGCACCAAAGAAGAAAUAAUUAUGGACGACGAAAAUGUCGAUUAGAAUGAAGGCGAAGGCGUAGAUGCAUGCAUAGCUCCUGGUAUGCCAUCCACAAAGGCCACCACCGCCUUCGGAUGUACUCUGCAAAUGGCAUACAAGGAGCCAGGCAUAACCGCUAACCGCUAACCACCCCUGCAUUGCCCUGUUUUUAUAUCUAUACAUACAUAUAUAUAAACAUACCUUUCUCACCGUGCUUUGGUGUAGAUUACACACACUAAACCAAUCUUCAUCCCAUCUCAGUAAACUAU
rnacentral:lncRNA from 1 species